AUUGAACGCUGGCGGCAGGCCUAACACAUGCAAGUCGAGCGAGCGGCGGACGGGUGAGGGAUGGCUGGGAGACUGCCUGAUGUAGGGGGAUAACUACGGGAAGCGGUAGCUAAUACCGCAUACCAUCAACUGUGCUCAGAAGGGAAUAGCUAGUCGGUGGGGUAACGGCUAACCUAGGCGACGAUCCCUAGCUGGUCUGAGAGGAUGACCAGCCACACUGGAACUGAGACACGGUCCAGACUCCUACGGGAGGCAGCAGUGGGGAAUAUUGCACAAUGGGCGCAAGCCUGAUGCAGCCAUGCCGCGUGUGUGAAGAAGGUCUUCGGAUUGUAAAGCACUGUCAGUGGGGAGGCGUUACCCACAGAAGAAGCACCGGCUAACUCCGUGCCAGCAGCCGCGGUAAUUC
rnacentral:rRNA from 1 species